AUGAUAAAAAAGUUUAUGGAAGUUGUAGAUAAUCUCAAGAUGAAUUAUAUAUUUGUUAUGCUCUUCUUCCAUGUCUUCAUAACAUAAACAAAAUUGGAAGGUAAGUGUCUCAAUACUAAAAUCUGAUUAUUAUUGUAAUCCUUAUAACAUCUAAAUAAAAAAAGGCUUGUGACGCGUAUUUUGUAGUGUCCUAUGCUGUCGAAUUCAUGGGAGAUUUUCGUUAUUAUUUUGCUUUGCCUUUAUGCCUCUGUGUUUCUUUGUUAUAUAUUUGUUUGUUUGUAUAGUGCUUAAGAUUAUAAAACAAUGUUGACUGUUGUACCCCUAUUUUGUCAUUUUUACAUGUUAUGUCUGUUUAUAUAUAGUACACACAUCGUUGUCAAUUUCAUGGAAUGUUAUGCGACUGUCAUACAAGUCAAGUAAGAGGUUGAGCGAGAUAUCAAACCAGGUUUUAUCCACAAUCAGCUAAAAUGUCGACAGAUUUCAUGGAUUACUCUUUUUAAAAUUCACCUUUGGAUCCAAAAAUAAUACUCUCAUAUUAUUAGUUUAAUGCAUAAUGCCAGGUAGGUGACACGGCUCCUUAUAGUCUCUAUAUCAUAUGCAUUCAAACACCAAUAACAUAUUUACUUGCUUCAAACACAACUUAUUAGAUGUCAAAUCAGCUUGAUUCGAUAGCAAAAUAAUUGCAUAAACUUUGAUCAGUGUUGGCAUCACAGCUUAUUACUACAUUUAACAGCACUUUAACAUGUUUAAGAGUUUUAAUCCCAUACUGUACAUUUCGCCGUCAGUUCCAGCUUCUUAUUGAUUGUUGAUGAUUAUAUUCACUUAUACAUUGAUCUAAUAAAAAAUCAGAAGUUGUGAUGAGAUUUGAAAAAAAAGUAAUUUUGAUUUGUGAAAUGAAAAAUGCAGACCUUUUUGUACAAUUGAUUUUGCAUAUCGAUAAUUACCAAAACAGACCAAAGGACCUUUAUCAAUGUAUUGAUCAUAUGAUAUAAUAUAUACUUCAGAUGCUUAAAAAAAUGCCUUUUAUAUAAAAUGUAGAUCCGUGCUUUACAAAGAACCUAAUCGACGACUGGCGACGAUCAGUAGCCCAUGGAAUUACAAGGAAUUGCUAUGUGAUACCAGUCUAUAAGAACAAUGGUACAUGGUUAUAUCCGGUGCUGGAGAAUUAAUGUCAACCAUUUGUCCGUUGGGUGGAUUUCGUUGUGGAACGGCAAAUCCCUAUUGGCUAUUAUCAUGUACGUGAGAUAGCUAUAUAUAGACUUUAGCAUGUUUUUUUUCUGAACAUUAUUCAUAAGGUUUUUAGUUUUGUCGACAUAAAGAUUAUGACAAUGCAUACUAAUAUUUAUGAUCAAUUUAGUCUAAUGAAAUCGUAGUAUUAUAUUAAAAAGAAGUCAGUCGUUUGACAAAUAUUGUUGUGUGCAUUACUGAUUGAAGGAGAUUGCUUGAUAAUAGUUAUCAAAGGUACUGGGAUUAUAAUGUAUUACGCCAGACGCGAGUUUCGUCUACUCAUCAGUAACGCUAAGAUCAAAAUAAGAAUAAAGCCAAGCAAGUACAAAGUUAAAGAGCAUUGAGGGCCCAAAAUUAAAAAAAGUUGUGCCAAAUACGGCUAACAUCAUCUAUUCCUUAGUUUUUCGAAAAUUUCAAAGUUUUGUAACAGGAAAUUUAUAACAAUGACAAUGUAAUUGAUAUUUAUGUCAACACCGAAGUGCUGAUACCCUCGGGGAUGAACCUCACCAUAGCUCAAACAGUCAAAGGACAUCUAGUGGAAAACAAAAGUUAUUUAUCAUUGGUCAAGAUUUAAAUGUUUCAAGUCAUGAAAAAGUCGUAAAUAAAUUGAUAACCUAAUUGAAUAAAUAAAUGACCACAAACAUAUUACCUUUAUGUUGCAUUUGAAUGGUAAUAAAAACUUUAUUCUAUUCAUGUCAAUAAGUUUGUAUAAUAACUAAACAAUUUGUAUACAUACAUGUAUUUGUUUUUUUUUCUUUUAGCUGAUGUUAUAGGAUCUUUGUAUCCAGACACAGGCAAUAUUGUAAAUAGAACAGCUUGUUAGGCGCGCUAUACUGGCCAUUGUUGUGAAGACUCAAUCGAUAUAAGAAUUAAUGAUUGUGGAUGUUAUUAUGUUUAUUAUUUGAAACCAAUGCCGAGUUGUUCUUCGGCAUAUUGUUUUGGUUAGUUCUAAGAUAUAACAUAGUAACGAUUUUACGUUGGUCAUUCAAAUAGUAUUCUGUAUUUGCUAAUUUAUUAAUUGUUAGUGUGACAUCAACUUCCUUGUUUAAUUGUUAUGUUCAUACUAAGCAUAUGCCAUGAUUAUGUCCACCCGUUAAUAUGGAAACCGUACAUUUUGUUUUGUUUUCUGAUAUCGUCAAAUAUUAGUAUAACUUAUAUGUGAAUUCUUUUAAAUCCGAUACAAAGAGAAACAAAGAACAACUCAUGUGUUUGAACCAUAUCAGCAAAAUAGUAUACUCUUACUUCUUUGUAACCCAAUAAUAUAUGUUCUCGUGAGAGAAAAAAAAACGAUUUCCAGAAAGUUUUAUCAAUUUGAAAUGGGAUUAUACUCUUUAAAUACAGAUUAUUCAUUUAGUUAUUUACUUACUUCAAUAGCUAUGUCUAACACAAAAACUGUUAAACGUAUCACUUAACUGGACCAUACGCGUAUGAUCCAAAUACUCAAAUGGUCCGGAACAUAGACAUCAUCAAUGAUCAUAGAAUAAUGUUUUCGUCUUUAACCGUAAGGUAAACAUAAACAGUUGAAAUGAUACAUAAUUUCAAAAUGAAAAACAAGUAAAAACAGUGUAAGUAAACAAGCUAGCAACUCAUCGAAAUUUUCAAAAGGAAACCAAUGACCUGUCUUAAAAAGAACAAUAUCUCUUUAGAAAAAAAAAAAAAACCCUAAGAAGCAUUCAAUCCUCUAUUAGAAUAGACAAGCCUUAAACUAUAGGUAAACAUUACUGAUGUUUACCGUUUCAAACUAUUAAAAUAUAAGAAGCUGCACUUUGUUAUACGAAUUAUGCAAAGUUAACAGAAUAAAAAAACUAGACAGGAUAGUUUCUUCUCAUUUCCAAUUUAACUCUAUCAUUUAAGAUUAAGAUGAUCCUUAAUUAUAAAAAGAUUUUUUUUUAAAUUAAAAUGUAUAAGACAAAACAUUUAUUUGUUUUUCAGAUGUUAAGACGUUGGUUUUUCUCAAGAAAACAUUUGAAGUAGGAGGCGAAUCUAUUUAUUAC
rnacentral:lncRNA from 1 species